rnacentral:tRNA from 1 species
CGGCCGUUAGUGUAACGGUAGCACACUGGACUUUUAAUCCAGAAGGUGAGAGUUCGAAUCUCUUGCGGCCGACCA